rnacentral:rRNA from 1 species
AUUGAACGCUAGCGGGAUGCCUUACACAUGCAAGUCGAACGGCAGCACGGACUUCGGUCUGGUGGCGAGUGGCGAACGGGUGAGUAAUGUAUCGGAACGUGCCUAGUAGCGGGGGAUAACUACGCGAAAGCGUAGCUAAUACCGCAUACGCCCUACGGGGGAAAGCAGGGGAUCGCAAGACCUUGCACUAUUAGAGCGGCCGAUAUCGGAUUAGCUAGUUGGUGGGGUAACGGCUCACCAAGGCGACGAUCCGUAGCUGGUUUGAGAGGACGACCAGCCACACUGGGACUGAGACACGGCCCAGACUCCUACGGGAGGCAGCAGUGGGGAAUUUUGGACAAUGGGGGAAACCCUGAUCCAGCCAUCCCGCGUGUGCGAUGAAGGCCUUCGGGUUGUAAAGCACUUUUGGCAGGAAAGAAACGUCAUGGGCUAAUACCCCGUGAAACUGACGGUA